ensembl:lncRNA
CUUUCUCCUGUUUGUAUUGUACCUUCUCUUUAUCUCCUUCUAUCUCUUCUUCAUCCAAACUUGCCAUAUAUUUGUCUGUUUAAAUUAAUCUCUUAAAAAAAACAGUUAUUGUGUUUUGUGGACUCGAUUCUUUUAUUCUGUGUAUUGCUCGGUGGCUUUAUAAUUUCCUUCUGCUUUCUUUGUGAUUAUGCUGAUGUUUUAUUCUCACUUGUUCAGCCAGUUUAUCCAUUUUUAAUCUUUCUUUUUUCUAAUGCAUAUACUUAAGAUGCUGACUUUCCCUCUGUGCAAAACAUUAGCAAAACUCACAGAUUUUGAUGUACAAGACUGAACUGUGUUGUUAAAUUUCUAGAAUGUGGGUUUGGGUAUUCUUUUAGGGGGAAAACUUUCAGUCUUCAUGAUCAAUUUCUGAGAGAGGUGUGUUAAACUAUAAGACAGGCUUAUCAAUCUCUUCUGAUCUUUCUAAGUGCUUCACGGAUUUGGAAACUAUGUUGUGUAUAAAAGCUCAGGCUUAAACUUUUCAUCAAUAUAAAAUAUCCCUGUUGCCUCCUUUAAUGAUUUUCAAUUUUGUCUGGAAUUAAUUUAUUGCAUCUGCUUUCUUUUUGUGUUCACUUCGCUGGGACAUCAUUUUUUCAUACCUUUGCAUUCAACCUUUUCUUGUUUAAAUGUGUAUCCAGCAAAUAGUCUAUUUCUCUACUUAUUUGAGAAGACAGUUAGCUACUACAUGCUAGAAACCAGAAGCUUAACAUGUAAGUUCUUGUGGGCUAAAGUGAGGUGAGCCCCUCUCCCUGAAGCAGAACCCAGAUGGCAGCUGGGCUUUCUGCUUCUUGAAAGUCUGGUCAUGGGGGACCCUCAGCUCUCGAUCCAGCCCCAGUUGCCUGUCUCCUGUGCUCCUCUGCCAAUAACUUCUUUUGCACCUGCUCUGCUGGGGAAAUCAUGUCUUUUUUUUUUUUUUAAUUCCAGUGAAAUUCAAAUAACAUGAAAUUAAUCAUUUUAAAACAAACAAUUCAGUGGCAUUUAGUAACAUUCACAGCAUUGUGCAACAACCACCUCUUUCUAUUUCCAAAAUAUUUUCAUCACCCCAAAUAAAACCCAUACCAUUAACCAGUCACUCCCUCUCUCCCCUCCUGGUGGGAGUAGUUGCUGGCUUAGUCAUUAAGUCGUGUCUGACUCUUGCAAUCCCAUGGACUAUAGCCCACCAGGCUCCUCUGUCCAUGAGAUUUCCCAGGCAAGAAUACUGGAACUGGUUGCCAUUUCCUUCUCCAGGGGAUCUUCCUGACCCAGGGAUCAAACUUGGGUCUUCCGCACUGCAGGCACAUUCUGCAAGAAGCCCAAUGAAUACGAGUAGUACCAGUUAAAAGGCAAAAAAUACAUGUCUUCUGAGGAUGAUUUGGCUUCUUAUAGACUUUGGCCGCAGAAAGAGAACGUGCCAAACAUGGAUACAACCAUUUCCGAUUACAUGUAAGUUAAAUUCCUGUUGUAAAUAAUCCUGUUUACAGAUGUCUCCCAAGCCAUCUGUUGAUUUAUUUACAUUGCAGGAAAAUGCAUAUAACAUUAAAUUUAACACUUUUAAGUGUCAUUCAGUGACAUUAAAUACAUUCACAAUGUUGUGUAAAAAGCACCACCAUCCAUUUCGGAACUUUUGCAUCAUCUGAAACAGAAACUCGGUCACCAUUAAACUCUAGCUCUCCAGCCCCCUGCCCCACCCCAGGUGACCUCUGUUCUGCUUCUCCGCACAUUUGCCUGCUACAAGUGGAAUCACACAAUACUUGUGCCCUUGCAUCUGUUCACUUUCUAAAUUUUAUGUUUCAUCAUCAAAGCAUUCCCUAGGAGCUAACCUCACAUGAGGUCAUUAGAAAAUACCUUACAUUUGUAUGAUACUUUGCACCUUGUAAGAGUUUUCUACUGUAUUAGCCUAUGUGAGUCACAUAACAACUGUUCAAGGCAAGCACAGCAGACCUUGCGUUAACGAGCCCGAAGUCCAGAGCAGCUAAUUGUGUUAUCUAAAGUCACACAGUAAGUGGCCGAAUCAGGAUGAGAAGACUGCAUCUUCAGAUUUUAUUAUCUUCUUUAGCAUCUGGCAACUUCACAGAAGUUGGGAAUGAUUUAUUUGCUUUGGAAUCUAAAUAUGAAUUUCCAGUAACUCCAUUUUCUACAAGCAAAGGAGGAGUCGAGCUGAAUUUAUGAGCGUGUGGUUAGGGGCACUCAUCAUGUGGGUCAGAGCCCUCCAGUGGAGGGCCCGGCGUGGGCUGGAGUGCCGCCAUGUCUGUCGUGCGGUGGUGACCCUCGGGCCCACCGUCUUCACCAGGGUUUUCUUCCGGGGGAAGGCUUAGGACACACGGGAGAUGCUCUUCCAAAAGAGCUGGGCAUUUCUCCAGGUGCCAGGAAAAGCAGCCAGUACACAAACAGGCUGCAAGACAAUUUUGCUUUUCCAAACUCUGAACUAAUCAAGAUUUCACUGGGCACAUGUUUGCAAACAAGAAGGAACAAUAAACGUAUUCAUCAUCUCGAGUUUUAUUUGUAGUUCUAUUGUGUAGGACGGUCAUUUGUUAGGACUUGAUUAUAGCUGUCACUCUGUGCAAACCCUGCUCAGAAAUGAAAGCUGGCUGACGUAUGAACUGCAAAGGUCCGUCUUUCCUCGUCAAGCACUAAAGAUUCUCGUGAAGGUGGGGGAGGUUGGAUCAAACAGAGAGAAGUUGACAACGGCAGAGUAAUCAAGACCGCCGUGAAUGCAUCUGCUGGUCGACCCUCUGAAUUUGAGGGGUUUUUCGCUUUUGGGUGGCAGCUCCUUGUACACGCACUUUCUUUCUGUUUUCUUUUUCUUUUUGGCUGCACUGGCCUUCGUUGCUGUGCACAGGCUUUCUCUCAUUGUGGUGAGUGGGGGCUACUCUCCGUUGCGGUGCCCAGGCUUCUUCUUGUGGCAGCCUCUCUUGUUGCGGAGCACAGGCUCUAGGCAUGCAGGUUUCAGCAGUUGUGACGCAUGGGGGCUUAAUUGCCCUGUGGCGUGUGGUAUCUUCCCAGACCAGGGAUUGAGCCCGUGUCCCCUGCAUUGGCAGGCGGGUUCUUCACCACUGGACCACGAGGGAAGUCCUACAUACUCUAUCAAUGCAACAACUAAGAUUUGCUUUGGUAUGGGGGUCUAAUCUGUGGUCUUAAGUCAGAGUGCAGGGAGAACUGUCGGGACACGGGUUCUGUCCGUGAGGUUCCCAGCGUGCUUCUGUACACAGAGUGAAGGCAGCCAGCCAGCCAACAACUGCCCCUUUUGGGCGGGAUCUCACCACCAAAUCCAUGUAGCCUGGUGUCCGUCGCCUCUGCACCUGGGCCCCGCCACCUCCCAUUUACUCCAGGUAGAACUAAAUGACCAGCUUGUUGGAGAUUUGGGGAUUGAGAUCCCUGAUGGAAACCAGUUAUAUGCAAUUUCCCAAAUGUCCACCACCCACCCCCAAACCCCUGUAUCUUUCUUGCUGUUGAUAAUUGAACAUUGGGUGCAGUGAUGGGAAGAGUAUGGGUGACAUCAGACUCUCAUGGAACGCAGCCCAUUGGCCAGGGACUAUUAUAAACUCAUUACCUUCAGUAAAGUGUUCAGUUCUCACAGUUCCAAAUGAGCUGACUUCUAGCGUCAUCAUUCCCAGUUUACAGAUAGACACAAGACUAAGCCCCACACCCAAGCUCAGCUCCAGAAUCUGAGCUCCUAAUCGCUGGGCUGCACUGUCUCUCGAGUGCACUGAGGCUGAGGCCAAUUCUGUUGUUGAGGCUCCUUACCUCCCGGUCAUGUUUAGGGGAAACACAUAUUUCAUUAAGGUUACUAAUGGGACAAAACUGCAGAGACACGUUGAAAGAGUGCAGUAGGACAGCUUUUGGCACUUUGGUACCCCUUGAUUGCUUAAUACUCAUAUAUAUUGAUUCUAAGUGGUAUCACAGUGUGUUCCUAUAAAUCACAUGGUUCAAAAGAUCAGCAUAAUGUGGAUUAUACUUUUUCACCAGACAAUAUCAUUGAGAGUAGCUAACAUCAGUCCUGAAUAUCCAUUGGAAGGACUGAUGCUGAAGCUGAAACUCCAGUACUUUGGCCACCUGAUGCAAAGAACUGACUCAUUUGAAAAGACCCUGAUGCUGGGAAAGAUUGAGGGUGGGAGGAGAAGGGGAUGACAGAGGAUGAGAUGGUUGGAUAGCAUCACCGACUUGAUGGACAUGAGUUUGAGUAACCUCCAGGAGCUGGUGAUGGACAGGGAAGCCUGGUGUGCUGCAGUCCAUAGAGUUGGACAUGACUGAGCAACUGAACUGAACUGAACAUCAGUACAGUGCAUUUGUUUCUGAUGUAUUCUCAUAAACCUCUUAUAUGAGCAUUCAGAAAGUACUAGUAUGCAUGCAUUCUCAGUCGCUUCAGCUGUGUCCCACUCUGUGACCCUAUGAACUGCAGACUGCCAGAAUCCCAUGAACAGAGGAGCUUGGUGGGCCAUGGUUCAUGGGGUCACAGAGUCAGACAUGACUGAGUGACUGAGAACGCACAAGGAGAUUUUGGGGCCUUGAUCCCUCCUCUUUCAGAAGGUUUCUGGACACUAAAUUAGCCCUUUUCUCCCUCUGUUCCACUUUUACUUCCAACUGACCAAGGACUGCAAAUUAGGAAGGUGCUUAAAACUCAUAAACCCCAUUUACCUGGGUCUGUUUUAUGGUUUCUGGAGAAAAUCUCUCCUUCCAUUUAUCAAGAAUGAACAAAAUUCAGAGAAAAGGUUUUCACAGAGGAUAUUACCACAAAAGAGUGAAUGGAGAAUUUUAAAAUCUUUUUCACACCUUAGGGCAAUUGACAUUUUAGUAAGAUUCAUGCUUUUGCUCUCCCUUACUAGAAAUAAUACUCACUUGCCUGACCUUAGUGAAUGUUAAGGGGAUCCUUUCAUAGCUUAAAGGCAAGUGUGAUAUGCAGAAAACUAGUGGUAAAACCAAGGGACAUUGACCAGUGUGAAACUGAAGCCGAUUCUCCAAAAUAUCAUUUUCCAUGUCUGACAAAAAGAAAAAGUCUUCUCAGAAAUGGAUGUUCAUUCAUUCUCUCCUUCAACUAAUAGUAAAUAUCCAGUAGGUUCUUAAUAAAUUGUGUUGGCAGAGACCAACAGCAUUCCUGCUUUCAAGGAGCUAACUUUGAGUGGGGAGACAGAAGAUAAACAUGGAUGAAUGAAAAAACAAGAAUGAAUGUCCUAGAAAUGCAAUAAGAUAGACAGUGUCAAGGAAGUCUCACUAAGGAUGAAACCUGGACCUUGAGUCAAGAGUUAAAUCAUCUGAGUCCUGGGAUGAUGAGUUGGGGGAGAAGCAAUUCAGACAGGGCUUGAGCAAGUGCAUAGGCCAGAGGAAGGAGCUAGUUUGGGUUGUUCAGAAAUGAAAACGGAAGCAUGAGUGUCUGGAGUGCAGCAUGUGCGGGGGAGGGAGAUGGGAGGGGGCUCAGAAAGGGAUUCCAUCGGCAGGCCAGGGCCAUGGUAAAGAGUGGGGAUUUUGAUCUCAGUUCAACAGGAAGCUAUUGGAGGGCUGUGAGCUGGGGAAUAGCGUUUGGGGUCUUGGGUUUUGAAAGGUCAUUCUUGCUCUCGUGAGGCCAAUCUGCAGGAGUGCAGGUAGAAUGAGCUUCAAGUGGUAGCAGAGGAGAAACCAGAGAUAGACCAGGCAGAACUUGUGGAUGGGUAGGGUGAACAGGGUGAGGAAUGGGAAGGUCGGAGGACGGGGCACCCCAGCUUCCCUUGGCUCUGUUCUUUAAGGAAAGCAGAGACCACUGGAUACCGGGUCAGCCCACAUCCAAAUUUGGUUGCACAUAUGAACUGUCUUCUCUGUCACUGACAGUACCUGGGUCUUGUUUGUGUUCUCUUGGGAGGAAAGGAAAUCCAAGUCAGAGAAUGACAGAAAAUUUAGUUUUGUUCAAGGAAGACAAUCUAAUGCCAGUUGAAAUGUUGUUUCUGUGCCAGCCAACAAGUUCUACUCAAUCACUGUCCCUGUGUGACCCAACGACUUAUUUUCAUCAUUCAUAGUCAAGUUGAGCUACGCCAGAAUUAGGUUUUGAUGUGAAUUUCAAUUAAACAGUUUCAAAUCCUGUGGGUUUGGAUGCAUGUACUAUCAGCAGCUCUCAGAAUACCAUCCGCUCCUCACCUGAAGCUGAAAGUGAUUUGGGGAAACCCAAAUCACCACCCCCUUCCCUCCAGCCUCUGCCAUACCAAGUCCAUGGAUUUUUCUGGGAAGUCUUUCUUUUUCCAUCCUGCAGGUGGAUGGGCACAACUUUCCAUUUGGACUUCAAGACUCUGUGAUGGACACAAUUAUUUUUUCAAUUAAGUGACUCAUUAAUUUUAUUCAGGGUCUUCGUUGCUGUGCGGGCUUUCUCUCGUUGUGGCAAGUGGGGACUCCUCUUGAUUGCGGUGCUUGGGCUUCUCACUGCGGUGGUGUCUUCUCCACCGGUGGAGGCAGAGCAUAGGCUGUGGGGCAGCGGGCUUCAGUACUUGCGGCUCACGGGCUCAGUAGCUUCGGCUCCCAGACUCUAGAGCGCUGGCUCCAUAGUUGGGGCGCACAGGAUUUGUUGCUCUGUGGCAUGUGCAGUCUUUCUGGACCAGGGAUCGAACUAGUGCCUCCUGCAGUGGCAGGCGAAUUCUUUACCACUGAGCCACCAUAGCAGCCCCCCAAUUAUUUAUUAAUUGGAGAAAAGAGUAUUUGGUGAUGAAUGACUAUAACUCUGAUAAAUAAGCCAUUUCCAAGGCACUCUCGCAUAUAAUAUGUGACUUGUUCAUCUUAGCAGCUCUGUGAGGUCACAGAGCCUUGUCCUUUUAAUCCCUCUUUCUCCUCUCUUAGCUCAAAUUCCCCCAGAUUAAAAAAGCCCCUACUCCUUCCCGUUAUUUGCGCAGUCUACAAAUUCUGCUGCCAAAGAGCUGAGUGGGAAAGGAAGUGAUUGUGCAGGGCACAGAGUCAAAGGAAAUAACAUGAGAAAAUCCUUCUGUUAUAAUUUCAAGUAAAAAGAGCAGGAUGCAAAAUUGCCUAUACAAUCUGGUAAGACUAUAUUCAACAUGCCCAUGUGCCUGGGGAAAAAAAAAAAAGACUUGCAGGAAAUAUUCCAUAAUGUUAACCACAGUUGUUUGGGGACGACAGGAUUAUUUUUAUUCUGAAUUCUUAAUAUUUUCCCAUGACUUUAAGUAAUGAAUAUUUGUAGGAGAUACGUAUUGUUUUGUUAAAUCAGAAAGCGCAUUUGAGACCUUUCAGAAAACAUCUUCCCUUGCUUGAAUCCUGUGCUCCUGCUGAGGGCUGCCCAUUACUACAUCCCACCUCUCUAGUUGGAGGGAUGAACACAUAUAUGACUCAAAUUGAGCAGUAAUGCCACCCUACUCCCUAACCCCAGUUCGGGGACCUGCAUAGGAAUCCAGCCAGGCCACAUCAAAUCCUACCUUUGGUCCUAGUAAGUAGAAGAGGAGGGCAGGAAAGAGGGUCAGAUGAUGCAGUGUAAGAAAGAUGCCGUUUCUGUCUUUCAAGAUGGGAAGGGUCGCAAAACAAGGAGUGCAGGCAGCUUCCAAAAGCCUGAAAAGGCAAAAGCAUGGGCUCACCCUCAUGCCUCUAGAAGGAGGCCCUGUCAAUACCUUCCUUGGCUUUAGCCUAGGGAGAAGCAUUGUAGACUCCUGACUUCCAAAUAAAUUAGUAUCUGUUCAGUUCAGUUCACAAAUUUGGAUGGGUUUUUUAAAAAAUUCUGUUUUUAGUUGGAGAAUAAUUACUUUACAGUAUUAAUGAAUUUGAUGACUUCCGCCAUACAUCAGAAUGAAUCGGCUGUAUGUAGAUGUAUGUCCCCUCCCUCUGGAGCCUCCCUCCUGCCUCCCGCCCCAUCCCAUACCUCUGGGUUGCCAUGGAGCACUGGAUGUGCUCACGGCAAAUUCCCACCGGCCGCCUCUUUUCUUAAAGCAUAUGGUAAAGGGGAUGUUUCAGUGUUGCCCUCUCGGUUUGUUCCUCCCUCUUCCCUUACUGUGUCCAAAAGCCUGCCCUUUAUGCCUGUCUUGUUUGCCGUGCUGCAAACAGAAUCAUCAGUACCAUCUUUCUAGAUUCCAUCUACAUGCGUUAAUAUAUGACAUUUGUUUUUCUUUUUCUGACUUACUUCACUCUGUAUAAUAGACUACUGGGCGUAUACCCUGAGGAAACGAUGAUUGAAGAGGACACAUGUCCCCUAGUGUUCAUUGCAGCACUGUUUACACUAGCUAGGACACGGAAGCAACCUAGGUGUCCACCGACAGAUGAAUGGACAAAGAAGUUGUGGUACAUAUAUACAAUGGAAUAUUACUCAUCUGUGAAAAGGAACAUAUGAGUCAGUUCUAAUGAGGUGGACGAAUCUAGAGCCUAUUGUAUAGAGUGCAUGUGUUUUAAAAAAAAGCAUUUUACUUAUCAAAUAAAUAAGCCAAAUUUAUUUGAGUCGAGUCUUAGUUGAGACCUUCUUUGUGGCACGCUUGCUUCUCUCCAGUUGCGGUGUGGGCUUAGUUGCGGUGUGGGCUUAGUUGCGGUGUGGGCUUAGUUGCCCUGUGGCCUGUGAGAUCCUAGUUCCCUGACCAGGGACUGAACCUGCAUCCCAUGCAUUGCAAGGCAAGGGAUAUUCUUAAUCACAGGACCACCAGGGAAGCCCCUAAAUUUGUAUGGUGUUAAGCCACUAAGUUUGUGGUCGCCUGUUGCAGCAGCAGCAGGGAACUCAUCCACAAAAGGGAGAGCAUGGUUCUGGACAUGGAGUCUGGUGUUGGUCAGGAACCAAGGCCCAGCCAGCUGGCUGUAGACCCCACUUGGGGGAACCCCUCCUUCCCCACUGCAGCCAUGACAUUCAGGGCAGUUGUCAGUGAUGGCGCUCCAUGCUUUAGUUCUAGGGGUGCAUGCUGGGUCCUAGGGUUAAUGAGAAGGGUCAGUCACUCUGCAACACCACAAGCAGACCAUCUUUCCCACCAUGUCCUGCAGAAAUAGGGCACUUGGGGUGGAGGGGCCCUGCUGUAUGGGAGCCAUCAGCAGACAGGUCAGCUGAAGGGUCCAGGGGUGGGUGCUGAGUACUCCAGGGCAGCUUGAGUCCCAGGGGUCGGCGGACAGGCCACAAUUGGGUGCUCCCCCAACCUCCACUUCCACCUCACAGACACUGAGUUAAAAACCAGUCAAGGAAAGGAGAAAGGAAAGGGUUGUCAGAGUUCCAGGAAUGUCACUGAAUGAACAGGGGGUAAAUGUCUCUGUCAUUAAAUCAGAAAAGGUCUAUUUCUGGAACAAGAGCUCAAGAGGAAGCCCUCAUGCCACACUGUCGAUGAUGAUGGUUUAAAAUGCCAUCAGUCUAACAAGCUAUUAAGCAGAACAUGUCCCAUCUUGCUCACUUGAGAGCUGCACCUUCAUAAGAACAAUUUAAAUAUUUGCUAAAAUUUUAGAUAUAUGUUAAACAUUAACACAUUAAAAUAAAUAUCGUAUGUUAAAAUUUGUUUGACUAUACUUUUUACAUGACAGGAAAUUGGCAAAACAUCAGAGAUGACCAAAUGUUAUUUUUGUGUAUAUGUACACAUACAGCUGAUGGGUCAGGAUUCAUGGAUUCUAAGUAAUAGAGCAGAGAUGCAUAAUUCAUAAAUUAUACACUGAUGGCAUAAAGUUUACAUUUCUUGUUUAAGCAAAAUUAUUAAUUCUAUCGUCAUAGUAAAGAUUUUCACCUGACUUACAUAUUAAUAUGGAAUAAUGCCACAUUAGACCUCUCUUGAGUAAUCAUAGUUCUUAGUUUUUUAUUAUUUUCAAAUUGGAGAAACUUUGUGAGUUAUUUAAUAGUAACUCCUGGAGUCGUCAAUAAACUUCAAGCAAUAGUCUGAGUGCAAAAUGAAUUGUGAAUUGUACAUAUCACAUUCACAUAUUGUGAUGCAAUCAAAUACUAUGAAAAGGCGGUUCAGUGGUAAAAAGAAUCUGCCUGCCGAUGCAGGAGAUGCAGGAGGCACUGGCUCGAUCCCUGGGUCCAGAAGAUCGCCUGGAGAAGGAAAUGACAACCCGCUCCAGUAUUCUUGUCUGGAGAAUUCCAUGGGCAGAGAAGCUUGGCGGGCUGUGGUCCGUGGGGUCGCAAAGAAUCGGACACUACUGAACGGCUAAGCACGGUUAGCGAUUUUAGUCAUCUCUUAAAGCAAUGUCUAGAUUUAUUCAAUAUUUCUUAAUUCCUUUUUUCAACUUUUUCAGUGCUGGGAUAUUCUAAAGAAUACUGAAAAUGUCACUAAGUGACUCAACUUUUUCAGAUCUCUGCUUCUUUCAGAUCUCUAUUUCUUAUUCCAUAAUGACCAGAAAAUAUUCUCUAUGGAAAAUAACUUGGGAAUCAUUUUUAUGUAGAUAUUCAUAGUUAUCCCAUUAUUUUUUGGUAUUAAUUUUGUUAUAAUUAGUGAAAUGCCACAUAUUCCACAAGUAUUUCUUUAAUUAAUAAUUAAAAAAUGAAGUCGCUAUGCACACUAUUCUUUUAUUUUUGAACCUUUUGACAAUAUUAUUGAGAGCAAGCAAUAAUAUAUACCAAGCAACAUUGGAUCAUGCAAAUUCAAGAUUAUUUCAUUUUCCACCCAUUUGCUUCUUUUGGUAGAGCUUCUGUUGUUUUGCUUAACUCGUCUCAUAUUUUGUUUAAAUUAAAUCUAGUUGCUCGAACAGCAAUUAGUUGGCAUUCCCAUUGUAUGUAUGAGGAACCUUAUAAAGUCAAAUUUGAUAUAUGUUUGAUGAAGCUGUUUCCAUUUUGGAAAGAUCCAGAAAAUACUUUUUAUACUUGCUUAAUGAUUCUGAAGGACACAUUGUUAGGGACCAACUUGAGAUCAUGUGUCCUAGUAACAAAUCCCUACUGUGAGCUGCAUGUGGAAUGCUUCUGAAGUUUUUACAAAAUUCUGGCCCACACACCGUUUUCCUUACCAACUAUCUUUGUGCCAAUUUCAUAGACUUACUCUCAACAGUCUUUCAAAUCAAUGCCCAAGAUUGAAAGUUCUUUUUCUAGUUUCUUAAAAACAACAACAACAACUGUACUUCUAGGUGUGAAAACAAUGCAAUAUGUUCUUGUUUUCAUCUUCAACAGCACAGAUAGCAAACGUUUGUUUUGAGUAUGACUUUUGUUAGUGGUUACAGGGGCAGCUAGUUGCUUUCAGUAAUGUUUGCUUAUGUUUUCAUGGUAUAUAUGAAUGAUUCUCUCAUGUUUUCUGAUACAUUAAUAAUUUAAUUUAAAAUUAUCCAUCCUAAAUAGUGAUUGCUUGUUUUAUUACUUUUAACUGUCUUACAUUUUUGGUCAUUCUAACAUAAAAAUUGGAAUUAUUUCUAUUACACCUAGAAGAAUUUUAUUGUGUUCUGUAAAUAUUGUGCUAUUAUUGCCGUAAAAAGUACCAUAACUCUUGGGCCCAAAAGAAUAGUUUUUCAGAACAUCACAACAGAGUUCUAAACUGGUAUUUACGUGUCACUGUUGACCAUGAUUGGUCAUUUGCUGUUUAUUCAGCCCACUUUUAAAUUUUUGGUGCCUGUAUGUGUGCUUUUUUUCAUACGUGUAUGAGUGACAUUUUAUAUAGUUUUUAAAAGUCCAAAUGCUUUUGGUCACAAAUAACUUCUUUGGCCAAAGGUGAUCUUGAAAAUCGGCUGUAAGUUAUGUAACACUUUAUGUGACAGCGCACUUUGUCUUUCUCCUUGGACUAUGAAAACCUGC